GAGACCUCAGGUCAGGCGGGGCUACCCGCUGAAUUUAAGCAUAUCAAUAAGCGGAGGAA
rnacentral:rRNA from 1 species